rnacentral:rRNA from 1 species
CAAAUUGAGAGUUUGAUCCUGGCUCAGGAUGAACGCUGGCGGCGUGCCUAAUACAUGCAAGUCGAACGCUUUGUGGUUCAACUGAUUUGAAGAGCUUGCUCAGAUAUGACGAUGGACAUUGCAAAGAGUGGCGAACGGGUGAGUAACACGUGGGAAACCUACCUCUUAGUAGGGGAUAACAUUUGGAAACAGAUGCUAAUACCGUAUAACAAUGACAACCGCAUGGUUGUUAUUUAAAAGAUGGUUCUGCUAUCACUAAGAGAUGGUCCCGCGGUGCAUUAGCUAGUUGGUAAGGUAAUGGCUUACCAAGGCGAUGAUGCAUAGCCGAGUUGAGAGACUGAUCGGCCACAAUGGGACUGAGACACGGCCCAUACUCCUACGGGAGGCAGCAGUAGGGAAUCUUCCACAAUGGGCGAAAGCCUGAUGGAGCAACGCCGCGUGUGUGAUGAAGGGUUUCGGCUCGUAAAACACUGUUGUAAGAGAAGAAUGACAUUGAGAGUAACUGUUCAAUGUGUGACGGUAUCUUACCAGAAAGGAACGGCUAAAUACGUGCCAGCAGCCGCGGUAAUACGUAUGUUCCAAGCGUUAUCCGGAUUUAUUGGGCGUAAAGCGAGCGCAGACGGUUAUUUAAGUCUGAAGUGAAAGCCCUCAGCUCAACUGAGGAAUUGCUUUGGAAACUGGAUGACUUGAGUGCAGUAGAGGAAAGUGGAACUCCAUGUGUAGCGGUGAAAUGCGUAGAUAUAUGGAAGAACACCAGUGGCGAAGGCGGCUUUCUGGACUGUAACUGACGUUGAGGCUCGAAAGUGUGGGUAGCAAACAGGAUUAGAUACCCUGGUAGUCCACACCGUAAACGAUGAGUGCUAGGUGUUUGAGGGUUUCCGCCCUUAAGUGCCGCAGCUAACGCAUUAAGCACUCCGCCUGGGGAGUACGACCGCAAGGUUGAAACUCAAAGGAAUUGACGGGGACCCGCACAAGCGGUGGAGCAUGUGGUUUAAUUCGAAGCAACGCGAAGAACCUUACCAGGUCUUGACAUCCCUUGACAACUCCAGAGAUGGAGCGUUCCCUUCGGGGACAAGGUGACAGGUGGUGCAUGGUUGUCGUCAGCUCGUGUCGUGAGAUGUUGGGUUAAGUCCCGCAACGAGCGCAACCCUUAUUACUAGUUGCCAGCAUUCAGUUGGGCACUCUAGUGAGACUGCCGGUGACAAACCGGAGGAAGGUGGGGAUGACGUCAAAUCAUCAUGCCCCUUAUGACCUGGGCUACACACGUGCUACAAUGGCGUAUACAACGAGUUGCCAACCCGCGAGGGUGAGCUAAUCUCUUAAAGUACGUCUCAGUUCGGAUUGUAGGCUGCAACUCGCCUACAUGAAGUCGGAAUCGCUAGUAAUCGCGGAUCAGCACGCCGCGGUGAAUACGUUCCCGGGUCUUGUACACACCGCCCGUCACACCAUGAGAGUUUGUAACACCCAAAGCCGGUGGGGUAACCUUCGGGAGCCAGCCGUCUAAGGUGGGACAGAUGAUUAGGGUGAAGUCGUAACAAGGUAGCCGUAGGAGAACCUGCGGCUGGAUCACCUCCUUUCUAAGGAA